rnacentral:rRNA from 1 species
UACAGAGGACCCGAGCGUUGUUCGGAUUCAUUGGGCGUAAAGGGUGCGUAGGCGGUAGAGUAAGUCUGAUGUGAAAUCCCAGGGCUCAACCCUGGAACUGCAUUGGAUACUGCUUUGCUUGAGUACUGGAGAGGGAACUGGAAUUUACGGUGUAGCAGUGAAAUGCGUAGAGAUCGUAAGGAAGGCCAGUGGCGAAGGCGAGUUCCUGGACAGUUACUGACGCUGAGGCACGAAGGCCAGGGGAGCAAACGGG